rnacentral:rRNA from 1 species
ACGGGUGAGUAACGAGAGGAGGUGCCAUGUCGAGGGAUAGGCUUGGGAAAGGAAAAUUAAUACCUGAUGGUCUCAGUUGUAUGCUUGGAUGAUUGAGUAAAGGCUUCUCUUGGUGAUGGAUGGUCGUGCGUCCCAUUAGUGAAGGUGGGGGGGGAACGGCCCACCAAUCCUUCGAUGGAUAAGAUUCUGAGAGGAAGGGCCCCCACUUUGGAAGUGAAAUACGGUCCUACCUCCUACCGGUGGCACCUGUGAGGAACAUUGGUCAACGGGCGAGAGCCCGGACCAGCCGACUAACGUGGGAGAUGAGGGCCCUUGUGGGCCUAAACCGUGUUGUCAAAAAUAAAAUACCCCAGGUGAGGUGUUUUGCUGGUAGCUUAAGAAAAGGACCGGCUAAUUCCGCGCCACCAGCCGCGCUAAUACACAAGGUCCCAGCUUAGACCGGAAGUUUGCGGGUAAAGGUAGCGCACGCGGGGUAUAAGAUGCUGGUACAUACAGAGCUGAACUCUGUAUGUGCCCUUACCUGUUUCUUGACUAAAGCAGGAAGGCGGAUACAUAUGUACAGUCGAAGGGCGAAGGUCUUUUAGAAAAUCCAGCGCGAAGCUCGUCUUUUCCUAGCGUAUCCGGACUUUCACGGUUCAAAAAGUGAUGGUAUGAGCAAAGAUAUCG